CCUGCCAGGGUCCCAGAGCUGCCAGGGCAGCCAGAGGGAAGCCCUGGAUUCCCACAUCAUCCUUUGCUUUUCAUCCCUCUCACUUGGUCCUAAGGCUUCAAGGGAGACUGGUUUGGAUUAUUUUUUUAAUGAACUCCUGCUCUUGUGAGAAGGAACUUUCCUUGAAGGUGAUUCAAACGCCAGAUCCUUGUGCACAGUUCUAAUGACUGGAGAAAGGAGCUGUGGGGUGAAUGUAAGAGCCAUCUCAAAACAGUGCUUUUAUGGUGGAUUCCACCAGCUGGUACUCAGGGUGGAUUUGUUACUGUGGAAGAUGGUUCUGGCCCAUCUGAACGUGGAAAUGUGUAAUUUCUCAUAGGAGAGGAGCUUCUCCCCUCAGCUUUUGUGCUGCCUGUCCCAGUGAGAGCCAAUGCCAGCCAGAGGAGGGGAGGAUGCCCAAGGACCAGGGAGGUCAUUCCUGCACAUACCUACAUGGCUGCAGGGGUGGGGCAAACAAUGGAGAAACCUACAUGAUGAGCUCUCCACCGAGAUUUUGGAUUUCUGCUUUAACCUGGCUGCAGAUCUUGAGCUGAUGGGAGUAUAGCUUGAUCUGUUCUAGGGUGUACAGAAGAGAGCAGUGACACACACAAGAGAAGAGAAGAGAAGAGAAGAGAAGAGA